GACGAACGCUGGCGGCGUGCUUUAGGCAUGCAAGUCGAACGCGAAAGCCCCUUCGGGGGUGAGUAGAGUGGCGAACGGGUGAGUAACACGUGGGUAACCUGCCCCUCGCAGGGGGGUAACCGGGGGAAACCCCGGCUAAUACCCCGUACGCUUGCUGGGGCGCAUGCUCCGGCAAGGAAAGGUAGCUUCGGCCAUCCGGCGAGGGAGGGGCCCGCGGCCCAUUAGCUAGUUGGUGGGGUAACGGCCCACCAAGGCGACGAUGGGUAGCUGGCCUGAGAGGGUGGUCAGCCACACUGGGACUGAGACACGGCCCAGACUCCUACGGGAGGCAGCAGCCAGGAAUCUUGCGCAAUGGGCGAAAGCCUGACGCAGCAACGCCGCGUGGGCGAUGAAGGCCUUCGGGUCGUAAAGCCCUGUUGUCGGGGACGAAGGGCGAAGGGUUAAUAGCCCCUAGCCUGACGGUACCCGACGAGGAAGCCCCGGCUAACUACGUG
rnacentral:rRNA from 1 species